CAGCCAGGCUCCUACGGGAGGCAGCAGUGGGGAAUAUUGCACAAUGGGGGGAACCCUGAUGCAGCAACGCCGCGUGGGUGAAGAAGUAUUUCGGUAUGUAAAGCCCUAUCAGCAGGGAAGAAGAUGACGGUACCUGACUAAGAAGCCCCGGCUAAAUACGUGCCAGCAGCCGCGGUAAUACGUAUGGGGCAAGCGUUAUCCGGAUUUACUGGGUGUAAAGGGAGCGCAGGCGGCGCGGCAAGUCAGAUGUGAAAGCCCGGGGCUCAACCCCGGGACUGCAUUUGAAACUGCCGUGCUGGAGUGUCGGAGAGGCAAGUGGAAUUCCUAGUGUAGCGGUGAAAUGCGUAGAUAUCAGGAGGAACAUCGGUGGCGAAAGCGCUUUACUGGACCAUUAUUGACGCUGAGGAACGAAAGCCAGGGGAGCAAAUGGGAUUAGAUACCCGCGUAC
rnacentral:rRNA from 1 species